rnacentral:rRNA from 1 species
AUUGAACGCUGGCGGCAGGCCUAACACAUGCAAGUCGAACGAGUGGCGGACGGGUGAGUAAUGUCUGGGAAACUGCCUGAUGGAGGGGGAUAACUACUGGAAACGGUAGCUAAUACCGCAUACCAUCAGAUGUGCCCAGAUGGGAUUAGCUUGUUGGUGGGGUAACGGCUCACCAAGGCGACGAUCCCUAGCUGGUCUGAGAGGAUGACGAGCAACAUUGGAACGGGAAAACGGCCAAGACCCCAAGGGGAGGAAGCAGGGGGAAAAAUUGCACAUGGGCGCAAGCCUGAUACAGCCAUGCCGCGUGUAUGAAGAAGGCCUUCGGGUUGUAAAGUACUUUCAGCGGGGAGGCGUUACCCGCAGAAGAAGCACCGGCUAACUCCGUGCCAGCAGCCGCGGUAAUUC